rnacentral:rRNA from 1 species
AUGGAGGAAUCCUUCACGGCCCCCUCCGUCGACCCACCCGCCGUCGAUCCCGCCUCCGUCGACUCCCCCGCCGUCGAUCCGGCCUCCGUUGACUCCCCCGCCGNNNNNNNNNNNNNNNNNNNNNNNNNNNNNNNNNNNNNNNNCUUCUACCCCCCCGCAGUCGACCCCGCCGUCGCCAACCCAUCCCGCUACCCCUCCUGGGUCCUCCUCGACAGCAGAGCCUACUUCGCCGACCGCGUCAACGCCACCACCGUGAAGGCCACGACGAGCACGGGCCACGAAUUCAAGGUCACCUUUUGUCUCGCCGACCCGCCCGCCGUCUCCUACUUCUGCGUCUACUGCCCCGAAGGUUGUUACACCACGGAGCCCCGCGUCGUCUCCUCCGCCAAUGACCUCGUCCUCCUCUGCUUCGCCUUCAGCUCCGGCCCACGGAGCACAGAAAAAGACUCCCAUCUCGAGUACUUUGUCUACAAGGCUGCCUCCGGCGGCAAGCCCACCAUCAGAUCUGUUCCGUGUCCCCCUCGAGCCUACAGGCACUCAUGGCACGCUGCCAUCGUGCCCGUCAAGGGCGACAAUUUCUUGGUCGCUGAUCUUUCCCCCAAUGGGGACCCUGGGCACUACAACCUGCACAUCUUCUCGUCGGAGACAAAUGAGUGGAGCACCAAACACGUGCAGCUGCAGACCGACCCGCAUGUCCUGCCACUGGAGCUGCCAAUCCUAACUGACAAGGUGAUCUUGCUCGGAAGAAGCACGGUAGGAUGGGUCGACCUCUGGCGCGGCAUUGUCGUCUGCAAUUUGCUUGAAAAGGAGCCUGUUCCCCGUUUCAUCCCGCUGCCCAAGGCCGAAUUCGACCUGCACCGGAAAAGCCAAGCACGGCAAGUGCGGGACGUCAUUGGCUUCACCGAUGGUUACAUCAACUUCAUUGAGAUUGAACACUGUGUCAGAUGGUUCCCCGUUGUCAGAAAGAGCAAUUUGAAGACGGCCAUGACUUUUGAUGUUGCAGAUACCAUCGAUGAUGCAGAGCUCCUCAGUCUUGAUGAUAUGGACGACGUUACAGAUGACAAACCUGUGCAGCAUGUACCCGCUGGCUGGAAGAUCCGGACAAUGUUUAGGAACAUUGAUUGGAACUAUUGGGAAAGUAGUCACAUUCUUCAUGUUGACGACAUAUCAGCCUCCCCACCUGAACCCUCUGUGCUGCAAUCUCAUCUAUGGAAUGAUACAGACAAGAAAUGGACAUUGGGAAAACUGAAGUGUACAAGCUUCCCGACCUUUGGUUUUUACGGCGGUGAUGUUGUCUACCUCGUGUCUAAGGUGGAGUCUCAGGAUAAUGAUGCAUUGCUUGUUGGUGUUGAUAUUCGAAAAAUGAAGGUGGAAUCCAUCAAAGCAUAUGGCUGCGGGAGAUCCAUUUCUUUUGGUCCCAUUCCGGUUGUUCGUUUUAAAAUUGGAAGGAAGCAGGAAGUCAUCGAACCAUCUUGUGGCGGGAGAUCCACUUCUUUUGAUGCCAUUUCAUGUGCAUUCUCAAAAUAUCUGAAUACCGCUCCAAGUCCAAGGCCGUGUAAUGGGGAAGCUGCUCAGAAUGGUGUGCUGAAUGAUCAUCUUUCAUCGAGGGAUACUGUUCCAAACAGUGUGCAGCCCCAGCAAAACAUGUGGAAUGAUGGUGGCUGCAAUGGGGGUUGGAGUGAAUAUGGUUAUAGCGUGUAG